UACGGAGGGUGCAAACGUUGCUCGGAUUUAUUGGGCGUAAAGCGCGCGUAGGCGGCCGUGCAGGUCGGGUGUGAAAUCCCGGGGCUCAACCCCGGAACUGCGCUCGAAACCGUGCGGCUUGAGUCACGGAGGGAGAGGGAGAAUUCCUGGUGUAGGGGUGAAAUCCGUAGAUAUCAGGAGGAAUACCGGUGGCGAAGGCGCCCUCUUGGACGAUGACUGACGCUGAGGUGCGAAAGCGUGGGUAGCAAACAGGAUUAGAUACCCUGGUAGUCCACGCUGUAAACGAUGCUCACUGGGUGGCGGGGGAAUCAACCCCUUCGCUGCCGAAGCUAACGCGAUAAGUGAGCCGCCUGGGGAGUACGGUCGCAAGAUUAAA
rnacentral:rRNA from 1 species